GGGAGCGGCGGACGGGUGAGUAACACGUUGGUAACUACUCCAGAAUCAGGGAUAAGCUCUAGAAAUAGGGUCUAAUACCGGAUGGUCCCGAAAGGGUAAAGCAGCAAUGCGUUCUGGAAGGUGCCUGCGGCCUAUCAGUUAGUUGGUGAGGUAACGGCUUACCAAGACUAUGACGGGUAGCUGGUCUGAGAGGACGGCCAGCCACAAUGGAACUGAGACACGGUCCAUACUCCUACGGGAGGCAGCAGUAAAGAAUCUUUCACAAUGGGGGAAACCCUGAUGAAGCAACACCGCGUGGAGGAUGAAGGCGUUUUCGUUGUAAACUCCUUUUCUGAAGGAAUAACUUUGAAGGUACUUCAGGAAUAAGCAGCGGCUAACUACGUGCCAGCAGCCGCGGUAAUACGUAGGCUGCAAGCGUUAUCCGGAAUUAUUGGGCGUAAAGCGUACGCAGGCGGUUUGUUAAGUUGGAUGUCAAAGCCCUGAGCUCAACUCAGGACAGGUGUCCAAUACUGGCAAGCUGGAGAUAGGCAGAGGUAAGUGGAAUUCUGUAUGUAGGGGUAAUAUCCGUAGAUAUACAGAGGAACACCAAAAGCGAAGGCAGCUUACUGGGCCUUUUCUGACGCUCAUGUACGAAAGCGUGGGGAGCAAACGGGAUUAGAUACCCCGGUAGUCCACGCCCUAAACGAUGAACACUAGGUGUUGGGGGUCUCGACCCCUUCAGCGCCGAAGCUAACG
rnacentral:rRNA from 1 species